GCCAGGCAUGGUGGUGCAUGCCUGGAGUCCCAGUUACUUGGGAGGCUGAGGUGGGAGGAUUGCUUGAGCCUGGGAGGUCAAGGCAGCAGUGAGCCGUGAUGGGAGCCACUGCACUCCAGCCUGGGCAACAGAGCAAGACCCUGUCUCAA
ensembl:misc_RNA Metazoa_SRP Metazoan signal recognition particle RNA